rnacentral:rRNA from 1 species
AUUGAACGCUGGCGGCAGGCCUAACACAUGCAAGUCGAGCGGUAACACAGAGGAGCUUGCUCCUUGGGUGACGAGCGGCGGACGGGUGAGUAAUGCCUGGGGAUCUGCCCGAUAGAGGGGGAUAACUACGGGAAACUGUAGCUAAUACCGCAUAAUGUCUACGGACCAAAGUGGGGGCUCUUCGGACCUCAUGCUAUCGGAUGAACCCAGGUGGGAUUAGCUAGUUGGUGAGGUAAUGGCUCACCAAGGCGACGAUCUCUAACUGGUUUGAGAGAAUGACCAGUCACACUGGAACUGAGACACGGUCCAGACUCCUACGGGAGGCAGCAGUGGGGAAUAUUGCACAAUGGGCGCAAGCCUGAUGCAGCCAUGCCGCGUGUGUGAAGAAGGCCUUCGGGUUGUAAAGCACUUUCAGCGGGGAGGAAGGGCUACUAGUUAAUACCUAGUGGCAUUGACGUUACUCGCAGAAGAAGCACCGGCUAACUCCGUGCCAGCCGCCGCGGUAAGAC